rnacentral:rRNA from 1 species
AGUCGAACGGCAGCACGGGAGCAACCCUGGUGGCGAGUGGCGAACGGGUGAGUAAUACAUCGGAACGUGUCCUGUAGUGGGGGAUAGCCCGGCGAAAGCCGGAUUAAUACCGCAUACGCUCUACGGAGGAAAGGGGGGGAUCUUAGGACCUCUCGCUACAGGGGCGGCCGAUGGCAGAUUAGCUAGUUGGUGGGGUAAAGGCCUACCAAGGCGACGAUCUGUAGCUGGUCUGAGAGGACGACCAGCCACACUGGGACUGAGACACGGCCCAGACUCCUACGGGAGGCAGCAGUGGGGAAUUUUGGACAAUGGGCGCAAGCCUGAUCCAGCAAUGCCGCGUGUGUGAAGAAGGCCUUCGGGUUGUAAAGCACUUUUGUCCGGAAAGAAAACCUCCGCCCUAAUAUGGUGGGGGGAUGACGGUACCGGAAGAAUAAGCACCGGCUAACUACGUGCCAGCAGCCGCGGUAAUACGUAGGGUGCAAGCGUUAAUCGGAAUUACUGGGCGUAAAGCGUGCGCAGGCGGUCCGCUAAGACAGAUGUGAAAUCCCCGGGCUUAACCUGGGAACUGCAUUUGUGACUGGCGGGCUAGAGUAUGGCAGAGGGGGGUAGAAUUCCACGUGUAGCAGUGAAAUGCGUAGAGAUGUGGAGGAAUACCGAUGGCGAAGGCAGCCCCCUGGGCCAAUACUGACGCUCAUGCACGAAAGCGUGGGGAGCAAACAGGAUUAGAUACCCUGGUAGUCCACGCCCUAAACGAUGUCAACUAGUUGUCGGGUCUUCAUUGACUUGGUAACGUAGCUAACGCGUGAAGUUGACCGCCUGGGGAGUACGGUCGCAAGAUUAAAACUCAAAGGAAUUGACGGGGACCCGCACAAGCGGUGGAUGAUGUGGAUUAAUUCGAUGCAACGCGAAAAACCUUACCUACCCUUGACAUGUAUGGAAUCCUGCUGAGAGGUGGGAGUGCCCGAAAGGGAGCCAUAACACAGGUGCUGCAUGGCUGUCGUCAGCUC